rnacentral:rRNA from 1 species
AUAGCGUAUAUUAAAGUUGUUGCAGUUAAAAAGCUCGUAGUUGAAACUUGGGCCUGGCUGGCCGGUCCGCCUCACCGCGUGCACUGGUCCGGCCGGGUCUUUCCUCCUGGCUAGCCCCAUGCCCUUCACUGGGUGUGUGGGUGAACCAGGACUUUUACUUUGAAAAAAUUAGAGUGUUCAAAGCAGGCAUAUGCUCGAAUACAUUAGCAUGGAAUAAUAGAAUAGGACGUGUGGUUCUAUUUUGUUGGUUUCUAGGACCACCGUAAUGAUUAAUAGGGAUAGUCGGGGGCAUCAGUAUUCAAUUGUCAGAGGUGAAAUUCUUGGAUUAAUUGAAGACUAACUACUG